rnacentral:misc_RNA from 1 species
UGCACAUUGGCACAGCGUUUAUGUUCUUUGUUCAGACUUCAUGUCAUUAGUGAUAUCCAGUUACUCAGUUGUGGACUGGAAGCACCCCAAACACCAAACCACACCCCCCACCCCCCUCCUCGCUCCCUACCUUUCCUCCUGCUCCUCUUCUCCCUCUCUCUCACAACAAAAUCAAAACCUUUCUGCAUUGGAUUUUUUUUUUUGUUCCUGUGCACAUUGGCACAGGGUUUAUGUUCUUUGUUCAGACUUCAUGUCAUUAGUGAUAUCCAGUUACUCAGUUGUGGACUGGAAGCACCCCAAACACCAAACCACACCCCCCACCCCCCUCCUCGCUCCCUACCUUUCCUCCUGCUCCUCUUCUCCCUCUCUCUCACAACAAAAUCAAAACCUUUCUGCAUUGGAUUUUUUUUUUUGUUCCUGUGCACAUUGGCACAGG